rnacentral:tRNA from 1 species
GGACAUAUAGCUCAGCUGGUUAGAGUAUCACGUUGACAUCGUGGAAGCCACUGGUUCAAAUCCAGUUAUGUCCA